rnacentral:rRNA from 1 species
UACGAAGGGGGGCUAGCGUUGCUCGGAAUUACUGGGCGUAAAGGGAGCGUAGGCGGACAUUUAAGUCAGGGGUGAAAUCCCGGAGCUCAACUCUGGAACUGCCUUUGAUACUGGGUGUCUUGAGUGUGAGAGAGGUAUGUGGAACUCCGAGUGUAGAGGUGAAAUUCGUAGAUAUUCGGAAGAACACCAGUGGCGAAGGCGACAUACUGGCUCAUUACUGACGCUGAGGCUCGAAAGCGUGGGGAGCAAACAGG